AAACAGUUCUUUGAAAUAGUAGUGAACAGAGUACGGAAGCCUGUGAGAAUCAGGCACGGUCGCGCCGCUGUAACCGGAUGCAGUUCUUCGAAUGCCACUGUCAACCGUGUGGUUGAUGGGAAGGUGAGGAAAUGCUUGAAGCCGGAAGUCAGAAGACGUUUCUUUUCAUGUGAGUGACA
rnacentral:ncRNA from 2 species